UCCCGACUCCUACGGGAGGCAGCCCCGGCGAAUAUUGCCCAAUGGGCCAAACCCUGCCGCCCCCCACCCCCGUGACGGAUGAACGCCUCCGGCCCGCCCCCCUCCGUCAGCACCCAAGACGGGUCACUGUGCUAAUCCGCAGUCAAUUCAACGUCUCUGCAAACGAAGCACCGGCUACAUCAGUGCCACAAGCACUGGUACUACGGAGCGUCGGAGCGUUAAUCGGAAUUACUGGGCGUAAAGCGCUCGUAGGCGGUAUGUCAAGUCAAGGGUGAAAGCCCCGCGCUCAACGUGGGAACUGCCUUUGAAACUGGCAAACUGGAGUGUGUGAGAGGAUAGUGGAAUUCCAGGUGUAGGAGUGAAAUCCGUAGAUAUCUGGAGGAACAUCAGUGGCGAAGGCGACUAUCUGGCACAUAACUGACGCUGAGGAGCGAAAGCGUGGGUAGCAAACAGGAUUAGAUACCCGUGUAAG
rnacentral:rRNA from 1 species